rnacentral:rRNA from 1 species
AUGAAUUAUGCUUAUGGAGAUGAACUUGCUAUAGUUCCUUAUGUUAAGAAUGAAAUUGUUGCUAUUGCACCCACACAUGAUAGACCUAUUAUCCUUUUGAAUUCUCCAAACUACACUAUAUCGAAGAAGUUUGCUCUUAUUAAGGAUUACAUUAAUGGGUUGCCUUUUACUGUUGCACAUGAUGAUUUUGAUGAAUAUGAUAUGCAUGUGCUUGCUGCUCCUUCUUGCAAUUAUUAUGAGAGAGGAACUACAUCUCCACCUCUUUAUGUUUCCAACACGAUAAUGCAUGAUAUAUGUUGCUUUGUGCUCACUAUUAAAUGCCAAAUCAUUGUUAAUUAA